UACGUAGGGCGCGAGCGUUGUCCGGAAUUAUUGGGCGUAAAGAGCUCGUAGGCGGCUUGUCACGUCGGGGUGUGAAAGCCCGGGGCUUAACCCCGGGUCUGCAUUCGAUACGGGCUAGCUAGAGUGUGGUAGGGGAGAUCGGAAUUCCUGGUGUAGCGGUGAAAUGCGCAGAUAUCAGGAAGAACACCCGUGGCGAAGGCGGCUCUCUGGAACGCAACUGACGCUGAGACGCGAAAGCGUGGGGAGCAAACAGG
rnacentral:rRNA from 1 species